GAUGAACGCUGGCGGCGUGCCUAAUACAUGCAAGUCGAGCGAACGGACGAGAAGCUUGCUUCUCUGAUGUUAGCGGCGGACGGGUGAGUAACACGUGGAUAACCUACCUAUAAGACUGGGAUAACUUCGGGAAACCGUAGCUAAUACCGGAUAAUAUUUUGAACCGCAUGGUUCAAAAGUGAAAGACGGUCUUGCUGUCACUUAUAGAUGGAUCCGCGCUGCAUUAGCUAGUUGGUAAGGUAACGGCUUACCAAGGCAACGAUGCAUAGCCGACCUGAGAGGGUGAUCGGCCACACUGGAACUGAGACACGGUCCAGACUCCUACGGGAGGCAGCAGUAGGGAAUCUUCCGCAAUGGGCGAAAGCCUGACGGAGCAACGCCGCGUGAGUGAUGAAGGUCUUCGGAUCGUAAAACUCUGUUAUUAGGGAAGAACAUAUGUGUAAGUAACUGUGCACAUCUUGACGGUACCUAAUCAGAAAGCCACGGCUAACUACGUGC
rnacentral:rRNA from 1 species